rnacentral:lncRNA from 1 species
GCAUUCCUUACAGACGUGGCUACCUGCUUUAUGGGCCCCCUGGUUGCGGAAAGAGCAGUUUUAUCACAGCCCUGGCUGGGGAACUGGAGCACAGCAUCUGCCUGCUGAGCCUCACGGACUCCAGCCUCUCUGAUGACCGACUCAACCACCUGCUGAGCGUGGCCCCGCAGCAGAGCCUGGUACUCCUGGAGGAUGUGGAUGCUGCUUUUCUCAGUCGAGACUUGGCUGUGGAGAACCCAGUAAAGUACCAAGGCCUAGGUCGCCUCACCUUCAGUGGACUGCUCAAUGCCUUGGAUGGUGUGGCUUCCACCGAGGCCCGCAUCGUGUUCAUGACCACCAACCACGUUGACAGGCACCUUCCUUAGCUGAGAACUUUGCAGAACAUGUCCUUCGAGCUACAAACCAGAUCAGUCCUGCCCAGGUGCAGGGCUACUUCAUGCUGUAUAAAAAUGACCCUGUAGGGGCAAUUCACAAUGCUGAGUCUCUGAGGAGGUGAUCAGGCUGGGCUCAGCUCAGCUCUCCUCCUCUAGCUCAAUAAACAUCUGCCACACU